UUUUUGGAGAGUUUGAUCCUGGCUCAGGACGAACGCUGGCGGCGUGCCUAAUACAUGCAAGUCGAGCGAACUUGAUGGGAGCUUGCUCCCUGAUAGUUAGCGGCGGACGGGUGAGUAACACGUGGGUAACCUGCCUGUAAGACUGGGAUAACUCCGGGAAACCGGGGCUAAUACCGGAUAACUUUUUUCUUCGCAUGAAGGGGAAUUGAAAGAUGGCUCCGGCUAUCACUUACAGAUGGACCCGCGGCGCAUUAGCUAGUUGGUGAGGUAACGGCUCACCAAGGCGACGAUGCGUAGCCGACUUGAGAGGGUGAUCGGCCACACUGGGACUGAGACACGGCCCAGACUCCUACGGGAGGCAGCAGUAGGGAAUCUUCCGCAAUGGA
rnacentral:rRNA from 2 species